AUUGUACUCCCUCCAUCCAACAAAAUAUGUCUUAAGUUUGUCAAAAUUUGGAUGUAUCUAGACAUGAGUAAGUGUAUAGACACAUUCAAAUUAGUUAAAGUCCAGACAUAUUUUCUUGGACAGAGAAAGUAGAAU
rfam:Brachypodium distachyon strain Bd21 chromosome 4, whole genome shotgun sequence.